rnacentral:rRNA from 1 species
AUUGAACGCUGGCGGCAGGCCUAACACAUGCAAGUCGAGCGGAGCGGCGGACGGGUGAGUAAUGCCUAGGAAUCUGCCUGGUAGUGGGGGAUAACGUCCGGAAACGGGCGCUAAUACCGCAUACUAUCAGAUGAGACUAGGGCGGUUUAGCUCGGUGGUGGGGUAAAGGCCUACCAAGGCGACGAUCCGUAACUGGUCUGAGAGGAUGAUCAGUCACACUUGAACUGAUACAAGGUCCAGACUCCUACGGGAGGCAUCCGGGGGGAAUAUGGGACAAUGGGCGAAAGCCUGAUCCAGCCAUGCCGCGUGUGUGAAGAAGGUCUUCGGAUUGUAAAGCACUUUAAGUUGUGAGGCGGUACCAGCAGAAUAAGCACCGGCUAACUUCGUGCCAGCCGCCGCGGUAAUUC